UGGGGGAUAUUGCACAAUGGGGGGAACCCUGAUGCAGCGACGCCGCGUGGGUGAGGAAGUAUUUCGGUAUGUAAAGCCCUAUCAGCAGGGAAGAAGGAAGACGGUACCUGACUAAGAAGCCCCGGCUAAAUACGUGCCAGCAGCCGCGGUAAUACGUAUGGGGCAAGCGUUAUCCGGAUUUACUGGGUGUAAAGGGAGCGUAGGCGGCGAGCCAAGUCUGGUGUGAAAUACCGGGGCCCAACCCCGGGGCUGCACUGGAAACUGGCGCGCUGGAGUGCCGGAGGGGUAAGCGGAAUUCCUAGUGUAGCGGUGAAAUGCGUAGAUAUUAGGAGGAACACCAGUGGCGAAGGCGGCUUACUGGACGGCAACUGACGCUGAGGCUCGAAAGCGUGGGGAGCAAACAGG
rnacentral:rRNA from 1 species